rnacentral:rRNA from 1 species
UACGGGGGGAGCAAGCGUUGUUCGGAUUUACUGGGCGUAAAGGGCGCGUAGGCGGCCAGCACAAGUGAGUUGUGAAAUCUCCGAGCUUAACUCGGAAAGGUCAACUGAUACUGUGCGGCUAGAGUGCGGAAGGGGCAACUGGAAUUCUUGGUGUAGCGGUGAAAUGCGUAGAUAUCAAGAGGAACACCUGCGGCGAAGGCGGGUUGCUGGGCCGACACUGACGCUGAGGCGCGAAAGCCAGGGGAGCGAGCGGG